GCGGUGAAGCUCUCUCCCGCCGCCUCAGAGAUCGCCGGAAACGGCAGAGUCUCAAUGAGAAAGAGCGUCAAAAAGCCUGCAGUCUCCUCCGGCAGCCCAUGGUACGGCCCCGACCGUGUUAAGUACUUAGGCCCAUUCUCCGGCGAGGCCCCAAGCUACCUCACCGGAGAAUUCCCCGGCGACUACGGCUGGGACACCGCCGGACUUUCUGCUGACCCCGAGACCUUCGCCAAGAACCGUGAGCUCGAGGUGAUCCAUUGCCGGUGGGCCAUGCUGGGUGCCCUCGGCUGCGUCUUCCCGGAGCUCUUGGCCCGCAACGGCGUCAAGUUCGGAGAGGCCAUCUGGUUCAAGGCCGGCUCUCAAAUCUUCAGCGAGGGUGAGACUCUAUUCGAGCACAUAACAUUUCUAUUAAUUUUAGUUAUACUAAAUGAGCAUUUUAUUAUAAAUAUUUAUAUAUAAACAUUUGAAUAAUGUGUAGGUGGACUUGAUUAUUUGGGCAACCCGAAUUUGGUUCAUGCACAGAGCAUCUUGGCCAUCUGGGCUAGCCAAGUGCUCCUAAUGGGAGCCGUUGAGGGCUACAGAAUUGCCGGUGGGCCCCUCGGGGAAGUCGUGGAUCCGUUGUACCCGGGCGGUAGCUUCGACCCAUUGGGGCUUGCCGAUGACCCGGAAGCAUUUGCCGAGCUAAAGGUGAAGGAGAUCAAGAAUGGUAGACUUGCUAUGUUUUCAAUGUUCGGAUUCUUUGUUCAGGCCAUCGUCACCGGAAAAGGGCCGUUGGAGAACCUUGCCGACCACCUCGCCGACCCCGUUAACAACAAUGCUUGGUCAUACGCCACCAACUUUGUCCCCGGAAAGUGAUCCAAUUGUUGCACCACCAAAUUCUCAUUAAUCAUGUAUUGUUUGAUGCUGAUAUCCAUGAUUUUAAUGAAAUAGAAUGUUAAUUUUUCUUGCCCUCGGAGAAGUGGAUUCAUUUUUCAUAUUUUAUUAAUUGUUGAUUUUAGCUAUUUGCCCCAUCUUUAUAUUAUGCAGUCGCGCACUCCAUCAAUUAAGUUAGGGUUAAGUAUCAAAUAAGCUCCUAUCAUAGUGGCCCUUAUCACGUUUAGCUCCCUAUAGUCGAAGUUGGGCCAACUAAACCCUCAUACUACCUAAAAUCAAAAAUGGGCCCUCUGCCCUAACGGAAGUUAACGCCGUUGUUUAAAAAAAAAUCUUUAAGUUUAAUCCUCUCUCCCUACCGACCCUAACUAGCAGCUUCAGCACCCAAAACAGCCCCUGCACGAGAAUGCACAAUCCGGCGAACGCCGACCCUCUCCUCCAGCGUGGGUCGCCGCCUUGGGCCGGAGUUCCUCUAUCCCAUCUCAGUCUUUCGCGGAGCACCCAAUCGAGCCCUAAUUUCUCUCUCCCUUAUUCCCUUUCUCAAUUUCAAAUUUCAGGGAACAUGCAUUUUAAACCGAGCCCCAGCCCCAUUUUUGGAAUCGUCGCCGCCGCCGCUGAGCUUUGGGUCUCGGUUGUCGCCGUGCUUAUGACUCAGCGGCGAGACACCGUCCAACCUUUUUGAUUCGACAGAGGAAUCAUCUUGCAUCUGCUAGGGGCUUGGUCGUCAAAGGACAGAGGGAGCGGCGACAGCGGCUAGGGUUUUUCAGGUGUGACCUAGGCUAUUGGGCGAACGGUGGUCGGAGGCCAUGCCUUUCGCCGAUUAUUCGAGGGAGGAGAAGUAGGGGUUGGUCUGAUUUGGGUUUUGUUCGAGAGAUCUGACCAAGUGUGGCGAUGGCUUCGCCGCCACCACGGAAGGGGACAGCGCUGCGUGGGGUAGCGGCACAACCUAGAGCUAAGAAAUGAGGCGAUUUGGGAGAUAUGGCUUUGCAGAGGGCGGCGCCGCUGCUUGAGACGCGGUUGGCUGUAGAAGUGGGAGUUCUACUUCAUCCCCACGCAUUAUUGAAGGUUGCUGGCGAGUUUCCGGCGAAAAAUUAAAUGUGUUAAAGCCCACGGUGUGUUUUCGGCGAAGAAUUAACUAUGUUAAAAAAAAUAGUUAACGGCCGUUAAGUCGCCAUUAGGGCAGAGGGUCUGAUUGUUCGAUUUUAAGUAGUAUGAGGGUUUAGUUGGCCCAACUUCGACUAUAGGGAGCUAAACGUGAUAAGGGCCACUAUGACAGUGACUUAUUUGAUACUUAACCCAUUAAGUUAUAACCCAAAAGUAGUAAUUUAUGUCUCGUCAUAUUUUCUCUAAUUCAAGAGCCGCGUAUUAAUAUAUUUCUUUUGUUUGAGGAAAAGUUGAGAGCCACAUAUUAUUAAUAGCAUGCGCUCAUUUAAAAAUUUGAAUUCUUUUUGGAGAUUCAUAUUAUUUUCUCUGUAACAAUGUGUAUUUGAUAUGUGUGGAAGGGGUCUCAAUAAUAAUGAUGAUGAUGAUGAUGAUUAUUAUUAUUGAAAAAAUGAUGAUAAUGAUUAAUGGAUCAAUUAAAAUUAAAAAAGUGGAUUCAUUAGUGGCAGUGUGUAUAAAUAUAUGGAAAUGGUAUGAAUAAUACUUAGUGAAAUUAUUUCCAAAAAUAUAUUAGAAAGAUGUUUUGGGGACGAACGAAAAAUGAAAUAAAAGAAGAUGCUUUAGGGACAGAGGAGGUAUAGUAUGAGUUUGUAAUUGUUGAAUUUCGACGUAUACAUCAAUUUACGUAAUAAUUUAUAAGUAGAAAUCAUAGAAAUAAUUUUAUAUUAAGGUGGGUUUUACCAUCUAAAACUUUAGGACGGUAAAUUAGGUUGAUUUGGAAAUUAAGACAAAAACUUUUGAACUUGUAAAAAUAGGACAUUAAUUUUUUUUUAGAGUAAAAUAGGACACUAAUUAAUAAGUGUUACACCCGCAGGACAUUUCUCGGCCGAGAAAUGUCCUAUUUUUACGAGACUUAUUAAUGAGUGUCCUAUUUUACUCUAAAAAAAAUUAGUGUCCUAUUUUUACAAGUCCGAAAGUUUUUAUCCUAAUUUCCAAAUCAACAUAAGUUACCGUCCUAAAAAAUCCCCUGACUCAGAUAUGGCAUAAUAGAUUUAUUAGAGUAUUAAUUACUGUGAAUUAGUACUAAACUCAAAUAAUAAAUUAAUAAAUUAUAAUUAAAAUUUUAAUUUUUACUAUUAUUUAAAUUGUUAGAAUUUCAUUUAUUAGAGAGCUGAUCAUUAAUGAUUGAAUAUGAUUUCAAAUUUGAAUGAUGUCGUUUAAAGUUUGAGACGAGGUGAUGCUCAUAACUCAAUUUUGGUCUUUCAAGUUUUAGAGAUGAUGCUCAUAAGUAAGAGGCGAAAUUAUUAGGACUCAAUUAUGAUCUUUUAAACUCCAGACGAGAUGAUGCUCACAAGUCAAUUGUGGUCUUUCAAACUUCAGACAAGAUGAUGCUCAAAACUCAGUUAUGGUAUUUCAAGUUUCAGACAAGAUGAUGCUCAAAACUCAGUUAUAUUUUUCAAGUCCGACAAGAGAUGUUGUUCGGAAGUCAGAGAUGACAUGUUUAUUCUCAUAACUUAAUUAUAGUUUUGCAAAUUCUAAACAUAAAAUAGUACCCAUAAGUAGGGCUGGUAAUUCGGUUCCGGUUAUCCGGUUAAAACCGAAACCGAACUCGAAAAACCGGUUAUCGGUUAACCGAUAAUCGAUUUUUCCGGUUCCGGUUCGGUUAUCGGUUAGUUAUAUUGGGGUUAACCGGUUAAUCGGUUUAACCGGUCGGUUAACCGGUUAAACCGAUUUAAUUUAUAGAUGAUUUAAUUUAUAGCAGUACUCCAAUGUUUUAAACUAGGGCUGGCCGGAUCUCAAUUCUCAAACAGCUUUCACGCGGCGCCUCCUUCUCCAGGCCCUCCACGCCCUUCAGCCACUUCCCAUCUGCCUCUGCACCCUCCGGCGACCGGAGCCUCAUCCCACCGCGCCCAUCUCCCUCUGCACCCUCCAGCGCCGCCGCGCCCUCCUCUGCCUUGGGCCCCUUCGGCCCUUCCCGUCUGCCCUCUGCACCGUCCAGCGCCGCCGCGCCCUCCUUUGCCUGCGGCCCCUUGGCCCUUCCCGUCUGCCACUGAACCCUCCGGCGAACGGAGCAUCGUCCAACCGCGCCCAUCUCCCUCUGCACCCACCAGCGCCGCUGGGCCCUCCCUCUCCGACCUGUAUUCCCCUUCAGCGCCGCCCCCAACUCCCUCUGCAGUCUGCACAGCAGCACAGUCGCCACCCUCGUGGGCCCCCUCCCGCUCCGACCUCCCUUUUCUCAGGUUCGUAAAAAGUUUCCAUCUUUGGUUAGAUGUCGUAAAGAUGGUUUCUUUGCUCUGCAAAUAGCUCAAAUGUCGUAAAGAUUCGAUCUUUUUUAUUGUUCAUUGGAUUCAGUUUGUGUUGGUAUGGAUUUGUGUUGUGAAUUUGUGAUGAAUUCAGUUUGUGACUUUGUGUUGUAAAUAGCUCAGUUUUUUUGUUGUUAUUCAGUUUGUGACUUUGUGUUGUGAUGAAUUCAGUUUAAUUCUGCCAAAUUGAGAAAGCACGUAUUAAUCGGUUUUGAUCGGUUAACCGAUCAUAAAAUAGGUUCGGUUAUCUGUUAGAGCAAUUGCUCUUAACCGGUUCCAGUUAAUCGGUAAACCGGUUCAGUUAAAACCGAACCGACCGGUUUACCAGCCCUACCCAUAAGUAAGUUAUAAUCUUCAAACUUUAGACAAGAUGAUGCUCAAAAAUCAGAUGUGGUAUUUCAAAUUCCACAUGAUAUGAUUUUCAAAAUUCGGACGUUCAAAUGUCAUAUGUGGUUUUUAGAGCUCUAGAUGAUUAUCUAGUCUUAUUAUGUCCACAUAUGAGAUGAUACUCAGAUGACAUAUGUUGUAUUAAUUAAAUUAUUUCUUAUUUAUCAAUUUAAAGAAUUUGUACAAAUUUAAUAAAUAUUAUCUAUAUACGAUUAACAACAAAUACAACACAUCAAUCAUACAUCAUAUCAUACUUCAAAUUUACAUAUUUUUUGUGUUCUAAAAUCUUCAAUCUCACAUCAACUUUUUAUAAACUUCAUCAAAUGAAUAUUUAUAUAAAAAUGUAUUUCUAUUAUCACAACCUACAUUUAAUUGGCGAAAGUGAUUAAGAUUAAUAUUAUUUCAAAUAUUAUAUUACUAAUUUAAUUUGAUCAUAUCAAAUUAAUUAAAGAAAUAAUUUAUAAAUGAUGAUAUAAAAUAAUUCCCGUCGAAUUUCGACGGGUUGGACGCUAGUUCUAUUAAAUAAUGAAAUUAGAAAAAUUAUAUUUUUUAUGAUAAAAAUACUUAUGAUGCAUCUUAUUAAUUAUGUAAAAUAGAGGCCUCUCGAGGCAAUGUACAAAAUCUAUACUAUAUUAAAACAACAGUUUUCAAUUAGAAAUUGAUUUCAAAUCAAUUUGAAAUUGAUUUGAAUGGCAAUUUUGAUNGAGUGUGUAAAGUGGGUGGGGAUCAUUUGUUUAAUGUGUGUAGAGAAGGUAGGGACCACAUACUAUUUUUGAAAAGUGCCAAUUGAAGUGGGACAAACAAAAAAAGGCAAGUGUGCCAAUUGAAGUGGGACGGAGGGAGUAUCAUACUUCAAAAUUACAUAUUUUUUUGUGUUCUAAAAUCUUCAAUCCCACAUCAACUUUUUUUAAACUUCAUCAAAUGAAUAUUUAUAUAAAAAGGUAUUUCUAUUAUUACAAUCUAUAAUUAAAAUUUAAUUGGUGAAAGUGAUUGAGAUUAAUAUUAUUUCAAAUAUUGUACUACUAAUUUAAUUUGACCAUAUUUAAAUUAAUUAUAAAAAUAAUUUAUAUAUAAAUAAUUCAUACGCUAUAAUAAUAAAAAUAAUUAUAAAUAACGACAUAAAAUAAUUACCAUCGAAUUUUGACGAUUAAAUGCUAGUUGUUUGUGUGAUAGUACUUUUUUGUUUUUGUAUUUGAGAAUGGAUAAAGUUACAAUUAAGCCUAUUAUAAUUCUCAAAUACAUCAUAUACAUAAAAUACUCCAUAUCAUACAUACGUAAAUUAAUUUCCCUCAAAAAAAAGAAACAACUCGUACAUUAAUUAAUACUCCUCUCCUUGUAUGGAACCCUUGCCAUUUUGGACUGUCCCAAUUAUAUUGGCUCAUUUCUUAAAAUAGCAAAAAUAAUGGCUCUUAAGUGGCAAAAGUAAAGUACUCUACCUACUUAACUCAUAAAUAAAUAUUCUCUUAAUGUUUGUGCCAAAAAGUAAAAGGUCAAUACAAAUGAGAGGGAGGGAGUACUAUCGUAACAACAUCAAGAUCUUAACUGACGGAUAGAAUUCCUGGUGGAAUUUGGGACCCUCUUUGUCAAAAUUUUAAAAUAGAUGGCUAAGAGAUUGCCAACUCAACAUGAAAUCUUGAAACCCAAUCACACAAUACAGGUAUAUUCUGAUAUCCAUAUCAUCAACCUACAUUACUACUCUAUAUACAACCACCAAAUAACUUACACCUCUUCAUCUCUCAAUCCCAAAUUUCUUUGCAAAACCCAAAACUUCAACCUUUCAUUUCUUACUAAUACAAUGGCAGCCUCUUCAAUGGCUCUUUCUUCCCCCUCUUUUGCUGGACAGGCGGUGAAGCUCUCUCCCGCCGCCUCAGAGACCGCCGGAAACGGCAGAGUCUCAAUGAGGAAGAGCACCAAAAAGCCUGCAGUCUCCUCCGGCAGCCCAUGGUACGGCCCCGACCGCGUUAAGUACUUAGGCCCAUUCUCCGGCGAGGCCCCAAGCUACCUCACCGGAGAAUUCCCCGGCGACUACGGCUGGGACACCGCCGGACUUUCUGCUGACCCCGAGACCUUCGCCAAGAACCGUGAGCUCGAGGUGAUCCACUN
rnacentral:lncRNA from 1 species